rnacentral:rRNA from 1 species
AGUUACCAGCACGUUAUGGUGGGCGACUCUAAGGAGACUGCCGGUGCAAACCGAGGAAGUGGGGAUGACGUCAAGUCAUCAUGGCCCUUACGGCCUGGGCUACACACGUGCUACAAUGGUCGGUACAAAGGGUUGCCAAGCCGCGAGGUGGAGCUAAUCCCAUAAAACCGAUCGUAGUCCGGAUCGCAGUCUGCAACUCGACUGCGUGAAGUCGGAAUCGCUAGUAAUCGUGAAUCAGAAUGUCACGGUGAAUACGUUCCCGGGCCUU